CCUACGGGCGGCAGCAGUGGGGAAUAUUGCACAAUGGGCGCAAGCCUGAUGCAGCCAUGCCGCGUGUGUGAAGAAGGCCUUCGGGUUGUAAAGCACUUUCAGCGGGGAGGAAGGCGGUGAGGUUAAUAACCUCAUCGAUUGACGUUACCCGCAGAAGAAGCACCGGCUAACUCCGUGCCAGCAGCCGCGGUAAUACGGAGGGUGCAAGCGUUAAUCGGAAUUACUGGGCGUAAAGCGCACGCAGGCGGUCUGUCAAGUCGGAUGUGAAAUCCCCGGGCUCAACCUGGGAACUGCAUUCGAAACUGGCAGGCUAGAGUCUUGUAGAGGGGGGUAGAAUUCCAGGUGUAGCGGUGAAAUGCGUAGAGAUCUGGAGGAAUACCGGUGGCGAAGGCGGCCCCCUGGACAAAGACUGACGCUCAGGUGCGAAAGCCUGGGGAGCAAACAGGAUUAGAUACCCUUGUAGUC
rnacentral:rRNA from 1 species